GUGAAUCAUCAAAUUUUUGAACGCAUAUUGCACUCUCUGGUAUUCCGGGGAGUAUGCCUAUUUGAGGGUCAUUUUAAAUAAUAUAAAUUCCAAGAUUUCUCGGAGUUUCAAUUGGGUUGUCCAUUUUUUGUGGUCGCCUAAGAUCCAGGACCAUCUCAUUUUCUUUGGUUGCGUGUUACUUUCAGUUCCCUCAUGAUUUCACAAGACAUCUUCGAGCGUGU
rnacentral:misc_RNA from 1 species